rnacentral:misc_RNA from 1 species
GCUGCACCAAGUCAAAAGUUGGGGAAAGAAAAUUCUUGAAAACAGAAACAAAACUUUUUCAAGAUAAAUUAAGAAUCUUUCAACAACACUUUCACUUUUCUAAACCAUCAGUGGCUGUUAUGUGGGUUGGAGGCUCUACCACAUUUUGCUCUAAAAAGUUGCUCUCCGUAUCAAGUUCACAGUAUAGGACUCCAUUUCCAUCUAUAUCUUCA